rnacentral:misc_RNA from 1 species
AACGCAUAUUGCGCUCGCGACCUCGGUCAAGAGCAUGUCUGCCUCAGCGUCGUUUUGACACCUCACUCCCAUACUUUUUUUGAAGUAUAGUUCAUCUGGUCGAGACCAGUUUGACGGGAGUGGAUCUGGCUCCCUCGGCUUUGCAGCCGGGUUGGCCCAAAGAGCGAGGCUAGAGCACGGACCCAUUAUGGGCAUCAACUGGAUAGGUAGACGUGCCUUAGGUACACUACACGAAGUUGCUUGCUUGUGGACUGUGUUGACUGCCGAACAGGAAUUUUCUCAUAUUCGACUGAGCUCAGGCAAGACUACCCACUGAACUUAA